GAGCUAAGCUAUUACACUCCAAGCCUCAGACCUCUCAGGCUUUGGUUUCGUGCUCUGGGGAUAUCCAGCAUCCAGCGGCCCAUCGUAUCCCGAACGUCGGUGAGAACGAGGAUUGAGAAAAACUCUUAGCUGGACAGCACCGACGCAGGUGAUCUGAGACUAAGAACUGGGAUGUGUGGACGUUGGUGGAAUACAUACCGAGCGUGCUGGCUGAGGCUAUUAGCUAGCAAGCAUGAUCUGAGCCUAACGCGAGCGUGUAAGAAGAGAUAGCAAAGAUCCUCGGGAACUCGCAGCAGUCACUGAUUGCUGGUGGCUUUUAUUGGUUCUCCUGAUUCUCCGAAUAACUAUUGCAUCGGUCUUACUUUGGAUGUCUUAUAGAUAGGCCAUAAUGAUAAUAUUGUACCUCUGCGAAAAGAACAAAACACUGUUUGCAUAUGGUGCAAAAUAUGCAUUGUUAUGGCCACCG
rnacentral:sRNA from 1 species